UUGUGAAAUCGGCUCCCGCAAGACAUUUUAUUAAACAUACAAAUGGGAAAAAUUCACAUCUGACAUGUUUAGUCUGUAUUACACAUAGACCCAUUCAUAGAAAAUAAUACUAAAAGAUACACUGUCAAUGAGGAGUUAAAGGGACGCUAUAGACAGCAAAACAACUUUAGCUUAAUGAAGCAGUUUUUGGUGUAUAGAUCAUGACUCUGAAGUCUACUGCUCAAUUAUCUGCUAUUUAGGAGUUAAAUCACAAAUCAUAAAUAGGUGUUGUACACAGCUCUAGUCACACAUGUGACUUGCACUGCCUUCCUAAACAUGUUUAAAC